CUAGUAAAUAUUUCAAUCUUCUCAGUGCACUGAAAUGCGUCCCUAACAGCUAGCACAGAUUUUUGUAGGAGAGCAUGAAUAUGUUGUCCUUCGGUGAAGUUAGCGCGGACUGAAGUGGCUCCACCAGCUACGCUGUCAGCUGUCGCCUCUCACUACACAGGGAGGUUCAGUGGAAAGAUUUUUGGGUGUGUCUGCCCUGUUUCCAGCAAUUUCCUGAGGACGAUCUCUAAAGGAGUCACUGUUUUUAAUUACUCCACGCAAUGCUGUCAGUCUGCAUUUAUUGUUUUUCCCAGGCAGCCACAGCCAAAGAAACAUAUUUGAAGUUGUGUCUCCGUGUGCAUGGGACAUUUCCAGCUGUACCACACAAACUCAAGUGGCAGAUGCUUGGAUAGCCUGCAGCAGCCUCUCCCCAGCUCAUCAUUUCCCUGAAGUGAGCACCAGCACCAGCCCAAUAGACCAACUGUGUUUUAGAAUAUGAGGCCCAGCCUUGACAUUUCCAGUGAAGUAAAGUUGGAAGGGACGACUCAGCGUUGACUAUGAUGUAACGAGAUGCUUCACAGUCAUGCUGAAAGAUGAAAAAUAUUAUACCUCUGGAAGCCUGAGGUUUGGACUUCCUUGUACACAUGCAGAGGUGUCAGAGUUAUGUCAAGGGAGGUGUCCUAUUGUGGAUCCAAGAGGAGUGCCACACUUCCCUCUGCUCCUUCCAUCCUCCUCUGCUCUGAAGAAGAGAGCNAGGAGUGCCACACUUCCCUCUGCUCCUUCCAUCCUCCUCUGCUCUGAAGAAGAGGACAAGGGCCAUUUCCCAAAGGUCUUUCAUAACAUGGGGAAAGCUUCUUUCCCAGAAACCCCAAGCUGGUGUCUUCUCCCAUGUGCUGCCCUGAAUUAUGUCCCUUGCAUGCUCUUGAAAAAGGCCUUAGCUAAUUGGCUUAUCCCUGAGACAUUCACCAAGAUAAGAGGGAUAGGAUUGCUCUGAUUGGCUUAGACUUUACAAGCCUCACCCUCGGACUGGGGGUUGAUUCCUCAAGCUGCAUGCAUGUAACAUAAGAUGGACAGAGUGGAAGCCAUGUGGUGGAGUCAAUCGCAAAACAGGAGUCAGCCCAAAAGAGUCUUUGUAACUGGCCAUCCUCUAAUAACCAAAGUCACAUAAUUGGUACCAUUUGUAGCCUGUUAAAAUACUAGGCUUUAUUCACCAGAAAGCUUCUAUGAGAACUUAAGGAACCUGCUUAAUACUUUGAAAAUUUAUCCUGGGCUUUCCCUGGCAAUUAGAAUCCAUUUCAAAGAUAAGGAUUCCAUAGUACUCUGACUUUAGGUCAAUAACAAUGUCCUACUAUGAUGAGAGAAUGGAACUGUGUUUCUAGAGCGGGAGGAAGUUUGAGGAGUCUACACUGGAAACAAAAUCCCCUUAUCUCAUAGUUUUGGUGCCAUGAGAAGCAGAAUGAACCCAGAACAAGUGCUGAAGGGGUAAGGAAAGAAACAUAUGGAGAUGCCAAAUAUGUCAUUUACCAACUUUAUGUUUUCCCCCUACGGUUGGCUCACAGCCAUGUUUAUGGAAAAUGAACAGUAAUUGACGCUAACCAUGGUUCCCUCUUGUGACAUGGUCUCUGGGUUGGAUUAUCUCUCUUGAGUAUUUAAUCAUUUAAGUAAUGGUCACAAUCUAAUUCAUAAACACUCUUUCAAGAUGAAUUUAAUUCCUCUGCAGCCUCCAAAUGAUAAGACAGAAGAAAGUGGGGGGCGAGGGAAAGGGUGAAGUGAUCCCUAAAGUACCCUUCUGCAAAGGAAAUGAAAUAAAUGGCAUCCAUAUGCUUCCA
ensembl:lncRNA